GUUUGAUCCUGGCUCAGGACGAACGCUGGCGGCGUGCUUAACACAUGCAAGUCGAACGGUGACGAGGAGCUUGCUCCUCUGAUCAGUGGCGAACGGGUGAGUAACACGUGAGCAACCUGCCCCAGACUCUGGGAUAACAGUUGGAAACAGCUGCUAAUACCGGAUACGAGACGGAGAGGCAUCUCUACCGUCUGGAAAGUUUUUCGGUCUGGGAUGGACUCGCGGCCUAUCAGCUAGUUGGUGAGGUAAUGGCUCACCAAGGCGACGACGGGUAGCCGGCCUGAGAGGGCGACCGGCCACACUGGGACUGAGACACGGCCCAGACUCCUACGGGAGGCAGCAGUGGGGAAUAUUGCACAAUGGGCGAAAGCCUGAUGCAGCGACGCCGCGUGAGGGAUGACGGCCUUCGGGUUGUAAACCUCUUUCAGCAGGGAAGAAGCGAAAGUGACGGUACCUGCAGAAGAAGCACCGGCUAACUACGUGCCAGCAGCCGCGGUAAUACGUAGGGUGCGAGCGUUGUCCGGAAUUAUUGGGCGUAAAGAGCUUGUAGGCGGUUUGUCGCGUCUGCAAAAAUCCGAGGCUCAACCUCGGACUUGCUGUGGGUACGGGCAGACUAGAGUAUGGUAGGGGAGACCGGAAUUCCUGGUGUAGCGGUGGAAUGCGCAGAUAUCAGGAGGAACACCGAUGCGAAGGCAGGUCUCUGGGCCAUAACUGACGCUGAGAAGCGAAAGCAUGGGGAGCGAACAGGAUUAGAUACCCUGGUAGUCCAUGCCGUAAACGUUGGGCGCUAGGGGUGGGGCUCAUUCCACGAGCUCCGUGCCGCAGCUAACGCAUUAGGCGCCCCGCCUGGGGAGUACGGCCGCAAGGCUAAAACUCAAAGGAAUUGACGGGGGCCCGCACAAGCGGCGGAGCAUGCGGAUUAAUUCGAUGCAACGCGAAGAACCUUACCAAGGCUUGACAUAUACCGGAAACAUCCAGAGAUGGGUGCCCCGCAAGGUCGGUAUACAGGUGGUGCAUGGUUGUCGUCAGCUCGUGUCUUGAGAUGUUGGGUUAAGUCCCGCAACGAGCAACCCUCGUUCUAUGUUGCCAGCGCGUAGUGGCGGGGACUCAUAGGAGACUGCCGGGGUCAACUCGGAGGAAGGUGGGGAUGACGUCAAAUCAUCAUGCCCCUUAUGUCUUGGGCUUCACGCAUGCUACAAUGGCCGGUACAAAGGGCUGCGAUACCGCGAGGUGGAGCGAAUCCCAAAAAACCGGUCUCAGUUCGGAUUGGGGUCUGCAACUCGACCCCAUGAAGUCGGAGUCGCUAGUAAUCGCAGAUCAGCAACGCUGCGGUGAAUACGUUCCCGGGCCUUGUACACACCGCCCGUCAAGUCACGAAAGUCGGUAACACCCGAAGCCGGUGGCCCAACCCUUGUGGAGGGAGCCGUCGAAGGUGGGACUGGCGAUUGGGACUAAGUCGUAACAAGGUA
rnacentral:rRNA from 1 species